GCGGGAGUGGUGAAAUUGGCAGACACGCAGGAUUUAGGAUCCUGUGCCUUCGGGCGUGGGGGUUCAAGUCCCCCCUUCCGCACAA
rnacentral:tRNA from 2 species